GCCAGUGUGGUGUAAUGGUUUGAGUGCUAGACUGCAACUCUGGAAACCUGGGUUCGAUUCCCAGCUUGGCCA
rnacentral:tRNA from 1 species